CCCUUAGAUGUUCGGGGCCGCACGCGCGCUACACUGAAGGAAUCAGCACGUCUUUCUCCUUGUCCGAAAGGACUGGGUAACCCGCUGAACCUCCUUCGUGCUAGGGAUUGGGGCUUGUAAUUCUUCCCCAUGAACGAGGAAUUCCCAGUAAGCGCGAGUCAUAAGCUCGCGUUGAUUACGUCCCUGCCCUUUGUACACACCGCCCGUCGCUACUAUCGAUUGGAUGGUUUAGUGAGAUCCUCGGAUUGGUCCCGGCGCGGCCUCUGGUCGUGCCGGAGUGCCGAAAAGAAUGUCGAACUUGAUCAUCUAGAGGAAGUAAAAGUCGUAACA
rnacentral:rRNA from 1 species